rnacentral:tRNA from 1 species
GCCCGGGUGGCGGAACUGGUGUACGCGGCGGACUUAAAAUCCGUAGCCCUUAAUCGGGCUUGUGGGUUCAAAUCCCACCCCGGGCA